GUGGCUUAGUGGUUAGAGCUUCCGCCUCGGAUGCAGGAUAUCGUUGGUUCGAUCCCCGGCGUAGACA